UUGCCUGCAAAACAGCUGCUGGGCGCAGACCGGGCGGCUUGCACCAUGAAGGCAGCAGGAGCCCUGGUGCUCCUCGCCAUCGCGCUCCUCUGCUUCUCCUCAGAGGUUGCAGCUCAGCCCGGCAGCAGGUGUGACGGCGAUGACACGAUGUGCCCAGUGGUCUACGAUCCUGUCUGUGGCACGGAUGGCAAGACAUAUCCCAACGACUGCUACCUUCAGGCAGCAAAGACGAAAGUCCGGGUGAACUACCAGGGGCCUUGUCGCUAGCGGGGCGAGGUGGAGAGGCGAUGCCCUUCCACUCCCCGGCACGUCCCCGUGGGUGAGGACGACGUGCAACCUCAUCUGCUGCGCAAAUGCAUCCGCGCUC